AUUGUUUAACUUCAGCCCCUUUGGUAGAACAAAACCCUAAGCGCUCGCUUCACUCUCUUCUAGUUCUCUCCAAUCUUCAACGUUCGGCCCCUCCCCUCCGAUCAGACGACGCCGGUGACCGCCGCUCAACCUCUCCUACGGCGACUGUAACUCCGAUCAGACCAGCCGCACUCGCCCUUCGUUUUGGUCUCGGUUUAAAGGAAGUGCUAAGACUCCUAUUGAACGCGCUUGUUGGUUAGUUAAGGUAGUUCUGUGGACUGGGGGUAGAAUACUUUCUAUGACACACCUUCCUUCAGGGAUACAGUGGCUCCAGGGCAAGAUUGAAAUCAAUGGUUAUGAAGAAUACAGUUGUGUAGACCGAGCGGCUGGAUGUAUCGAGGAAUAUAGCAUCAUUGAGAGCUUUCUCUUUGCUAGGGCUGUAAAACUAAGGUUGGCUUGAGGAAACAUAAUUUGCUCCAUCCAAAAAGAACAGAAAGGUCAGUGGAAAAUGCUCUUGAAAAUAGAAGAAAAACCUACUCCAUACUUGAAGGUUUGCUGGAACAAAUGGUGUGGUGAGGAUGAGUCAGACUGUAAGUUCCUAUUUAUUUCACAGAUGCUCUCAAACACCUUGGAAAAUGUAGAUAGAAUAUACAAAAAGGGAGAACCUCAGUUCUAAAUAUAUGGCCCCAAGAUGAUCGAAGCGGCAAGAAUGUAGGAAUGCUUUGUAAGUCCUCCUUAAACAGUCUCAAUAACUAAAUUACUUUUGCAGUUUUUGGAAUACGUUUGUAAAAAAAAUGCUUCUCAAGAUAAGUUACUUUUGUUAGAAUAACUCUUGAAUGUGAAUGUAGACCCUUAAAACUUGAGUGGUACAAGUUCUUGCAGGGUUCUUUUUGACAUGUGAAUUAUGGAUGAAUCAUUUGGCUGAAUAUGGAAUAUAAAAAUCCCAAGCUGAUUUAAGUCAUUUACACUUCUUUUUCCACGUGGAAUUGAUAACAAUAGAAGUAUAGUUACAUAGAAAAUUAGACAAACUGCUCCAUUACGGUGUUGGUCAACUUUCUUUUAAAUCAGUGCCUUCUCCUAAAACAAAUCUAUCUGCAUUGAUUUCUUUCAAACUAUAACCCUACAUAGAUUCUUUGAUUGCAUUAACCUUUGUAAAAAUGAUUUUAUUUUUUGUUUCCUAUUUCUCAAAAGUAUACAGUAUACUUCCUUUCUGAUCAUUUCUUUAUCACUCUCUUUUUAAAAUUUCUCAAAGAACACCCUCAAAAUUUUGGUUAGGAAUUGUAAUUAUCCAUAAAUAAGUUCAUUAUCUUUGUCAAAGCAGAAUGAUGAGGUUUGUAUAGUAAUAUCCUAGAACAAUUAGAUUGCUUUCUUGUUUGAGUUUUGUAUCAAGUCUGAUUGGUUACAUUUUGCCUGCUCUCUCUUGUUAUAGCUGAUUUUGCCAGCUUCAUUGUUCAUCGUUUUCUUCUUUCGUUUUGUCAUAUAUUCAUGAACCUUCCCUUACAUUUUAACUUUGAAAUGGAUGGUGUCUUUAUUGCGUUUGCCCGCAGCAUUUGAUACCAAUUUUGGUUAUAGAUGUUAGCAAUAGAGUGUGUAUAUAUAUACAAGUGAUGCUAUUAGAGAUGUAUGACUUCGAACUCCAAAAUAAUGUUUAUAUCAAAUUUGUCUGUA